GUCUCCCAGUGUUUUAUAUAUAUAUAUAUAUAUAUAUAUAUAUAUAUAUAUAUAUAUAUAUAAACAUCUGUUGGAGGGCCG